rnacentral:snRNA from 1 species
AUAUGUGAGGGCAAUUUUAUGUGACAUCUGUCACCCUGCUGAUCACCAAGUUGACUUGGUUGUGGAUGCCUUUUCCUUGCCUCACCCCUCUGUGUGUAUCCUGCUCCCCUCCCAAAGCUAUUGCACUCAAAGACAAGGACCACCCAAGUUAAGGAGUACCUUUCUUUGGUUGAAGGUAUGUGAAUAGCUGCACUCCUUUGUUAAAACCUUUGAACAAGUUCACAAGGAAGCCAUUUCAACAUUUGAUGCAAAUUAUGUGGUUCAGAGUUAAGACAACUCUCUACUCUGUGGAAAACA